AGUAACACGUGGGCAACCUGCCUGUAAGACUGGGAUAACUUCGGGAAACCGGAGCUAAUACCGGAUAAUCCUUUCCCUCACAUGAGGGAAAGCUGAAAGACGGUUUCGGCUGUCACUUACAGAUGGGCCCGCGGCGCAUUAGCUAGUUGGUGAGGUAACGGCUCACCAAGGCAACGAUGCGUAGCCGACCUGAGAGGGUGAUCGGCCACACUGGGACUGAGACACGGCCCAGACUCCUACGGGAGGCAGCAGUAGGGAAUCUUCCGCAAUGGACGAAAGUCUGACGGAGCAACGCCGCGUGAACGAUGAAGGCUUUCGGGUCGUAAAGUUCUGUUGUCAGGGAAGAACAAGUACCGGAGUAACUGCCGGUACCUUGACGGUACCUGACCAGAAAGCCACGGCUAACUACGUGCCAGCAGCCGCGGUAAUACGUAGGUGGCAAGCGUUGUCCGGAAUUAUUGGGCGUAAAGCGCGCGCAGGCGGUUCCUUAAGUCUGAUGUGAAAGCCCCCGGCUCAACCGGGGAGGGUCAUUGGAAACUGGGGAACUUGAGUGCAGAAGAGGAGAGCGGAAUUCCACGUGUAGCGGUGAAAUGCGUAGAGAUGUGGAGGAACACCAGUGGCGAAGGCGGCUCUCUGGUCUGUAACUGACGCUGAGGCGCGAAAGCGUGGGGAGCGAACAGGAUUAGAUACCCUGGUAGUCCACGCCGUAAACGAUGAGUGCUAAGUGUUAGAGGGUUUCCGCCCUUUAGUGCUGCAGCAAACGCAUUAAGCACUCCGCCUGGGGAGUACGGCCGCAAGGCUGAAACUCAAAGGAAUUGACGGGGGCCCGCACAAGCGGUGGAGCAUGUGGUUUAAUUCGAAGCAACGCGAAGAACCUUACCAGGUCUUGACAUCCUCUGACAACCCUAGAGAUAGGGCGUUCCCCUUCGGGGGACAGAGUGACAGGUGGUGCAUGGUUGUCGUCAGCUCGUGUCGUGAGAUGUUGGGUUAAGUCCCGCAACGAGCGCAACCCUUGAUCUUAGUUGCCAGCAUUCAGUUGGGCACUCUAAGGUGACUGCCGGUGACAAACCGGAGGAAGGUGGGGAUGACGUCAAAUCAUCAUGCCCCUUAUGACCUGGGCUACACACGUGCUACAAUGGAUGGAACAAAGGGUCGCGAAGCCGCGAGGUGAAGCCAAUCCCAUAAAUCCAUUCUCAGUUCGGAUUGCAGGCUGCAACUCGCCUGCAUGAAGCCGGAAUCGCUAGUAAUCGCGGAUCAGCAUGCCGCGG
rnacentral:rRNA from 2 species